rnacentral:tRNA from 1 species
GGAGAGGUGGUCGAGUGGCUGAUGACGCCUGUUUCGAAAGCAGGCCUAGGCGAAAGUCUAGCGGGGGUUCGAAUCCCUCCCUCUCUG